rnacentral:rRNA from 1 species
GCACGAAGGUUUCGGCCUUAGUGGCGGACGGGUGAGUAACGCGUAGGUAUCUAUCCAUGGGGUGGGGGAUAACACUGGGAAACUGGUGCUAAUACCGCAUGACACCUGAGGGUCAAAGGCGUAAGUCGCCUGUGGAGGAGCCUGCGUUUGAUUAGCUAGUUGGUGGGGUAAAGGCCUACCAAGGCGAUGAUCAAUAGCUGGUUUGAGAGGAUGAUCAGCCACACUGGGACUGAGACACGGCCCAGACUCCUACGGGAGGCAGCAGUGGGGAAUAUUGGACAAUGGGGGCAACCCUGAUCCAGCAAUGCCGCGUGUGUGAAGAAGGUCUUCGGAUUGUAAAGCACUUUCGACGGGGACGAUGAUGACGGUACCCGUAGAAGAAGCCCCGGCUAACUUCGUGCCAGCAGCCGCGGUAAUACGAAGGGGGCUAGCGUUGCUCGGAAUGACUGGGCGUAAAGGGCGUGUAGGCGGUUUGUACAGUCAGAUGUGAAAUCCCCGGGCUUAACCUGGGAGCUGCAUUUGAUACGUGCAGACUAGAGUGUGAGAGAGGGUUGUGGAAUUCCCAGUGUAGAGGUGAAAUUCGUAGAUAUUGGGAAGAACACCGGUGGCGAAGGCGGCAACCUGGCUCAUUACUGACGCUGAGGCGCGAAAGCGUGGGGAGCAAACAGGAUUAGAU